UACGUAGGGUGUGAGCGUUAAUCGGAAUUACUGGGCGUAAAGCGUGCGCAGGCGGUGAUGUAAGACCGAUGUGAAAUCCCCGGGCUUAACCUGGGAACUGCAUUGGUGACUGCAUCGCUCGAGUAUGGCAGAGGGGGGUAGAAUUCCACGUGUAGCAGUGAAAUGCGUAGAGAUGUGGAGGAAUACCGAUGGCGAAGGCAGCCCCCUGGGUCAAUACUGACGCUCAUGCACGAAAGCGUGGGGAGCAAACAGG
rnacentral:rRNA from 1 species